rnacentral:tRNA from 1 species
GGAGAUAUAGCUCAGUUGGUUGAGGGAUUGUCUCACAUGCACAAGGCCCUGGGUUCAACCCCCAGUAUCACAA